rfam:Triticum aestivum genome assembly, contig: Triticum_aestivum_CS42_TGACv1_scaffold_513523_6BS
GGGGGAGUAUGGUCGCAAGGAUGGAACUUAUAGGAAUUGACGGAAGGGCACCACCAGGCGUGGAGCCUGCGGCUUAAUUUGACUCAACACGAGGAAACUUACCAGGUCCAGACAUAGCAAGGAUUGACAGACUAUGAUCUCUUUCUUGAUUCUAUGGGUGGUGGUGCAUGGACGUUCUUAGUUGGUGGAGCGACUUGUCUGGUUAAUUCCAUUGACAAAAGAGACCUUAGCCUGCUAACUAGCUAUGCGGAGCCAUCCCCUCCGCAACUACCUUCUUAGAGGGACUAUCACUGUUUAGGCGACGAAAGUUUGAGGCAAUAAAAGGUCUGUGAUGCCCUUUGAUGUUUUGGGCCGCAUGCACGCUACACUGAUGUAUUCAACGAGUAUAUAGCCUUGGCUAACCGGCCCGGGUAAGCUUGGGAAAUUUCAUCGUUAUGGGGAUAGAUCAUGGCAAUUGUUGGUCUUCAACGUGGAAUGCCUAGUUAGCACGAGUCAUCAGCUCGCGUUGACUAUGUCCUUGCCCUUUGUACACACCGCCUGUCGCUCCUACCGAUUGAAUGGUCCGGUGAAGUGUUCGGAUCACGGCGACGGGGGCGGUUCACCGCCCCCAACAUCGCGAGAAGUCCAUUGAACCAUAUCAUUUAGAGGAAGUAGAAGUCGUAACAAGGUUUCCGUAGGUGAACCUGCGAAAG